AAACAACAAUGAAAGAUAUUUAUGAUUGUUGGUUGUAGGGGAAAAUGAGAGUUUCAAUGCAGCAUUUUGUCCUCUGGAAGAAGGAAGUAAUGGGUGUUAUGAGGAGAGUAGUCGGAACGAGAACUCAGUUAAUGAACUGAUUUACUAUUUGGGCUACCUAUCCUGAGAAUUUACAAUUUCAUUUCACCGAUCAGUAGAGAAAAUACUUCAGCUCAAAGCAAUAAAGGACCAAUUUUUAUUGGUCAAUCGCGGUAACUUCAUUGAGGCAAUUCUGACAAAAAGCUAUUUUGCCUGAUGAAACAAGUGCUAAAUCUUUUGGUUUUCACGCUUUCUUGUCCAGCAUUUCACCUUAUCAAGGAGAGGAGGAAUUAAUGGCAUUAAAAGCGUGGUCCAGAGAACUCAAUCAGUGGUUGGAUAUGCUUUCUCAAUGCUGCUUUCUGUUCUUUCUUUGUUUCUUGAUUUCUAAUUAGGAAGCAUAUCAGAGUAUUAUGUUUAUUUCUUUGAUGUAUGUGAAGAAGUGAUCAUCAGAGUCACUACUGGAUGCUAUAGAACUGCAGGACCAAUUUAUCUCAUUUAAGGAAUGAAACAUUGUUGAAGCGCUUGUAAACAAAAAGAUAAUUUGCCAGAUGAAACAACAGUUCAAUCCUGUUCUUAACAUUUCCUGGUUUGUAUCUCCUGCAUGCUUCUUGCAUAGAGCAAAUUGUUAUUGAUAGUAGAUACUUGAAACACAGCAUUUUCCAAAAAUUCUGGAACUUUGAAGAAAGGAAGAGUGGUUUUCGGGAAGUAGCCAAAAGAACUCUAUUAAUGCAUUUGAGGCCGUAGGAAUGGAGGGGAGAAUUACAACAUUCACUGAAGAAAAUUUGACCGAGGCAUUUGUAAGGAAAAAAAAAAAAUUUGCCAGAUGAAACAAGUGUUCAAUCCCUAGUCUUCAACAUUCACUUGGACAUUUGUUUUCGUUGAACUUACUGAAACCAGGCAUCUGAUUCCCGUAGCAGAACUUUAUAUCAUACUGGAAAAAAUUGUCCUUCUAUUAUAUUAAGGCUGGAAAGCAUUUUGCAUUAUGGAAAAGGUGAAGAGUGGCAUUAGGAGAGUGGUUGAAAGAACUCAGUCUCAGUUGAUAUUUUGUUUUGCUUUAUCACUAUUCUUCAUCCUUUCUUCAUUUCAUAAUAUUUAAAUAGAGAGUUCAUCAGAGCCUCGGGUUUCUGAUUUUGUUUAAUGUGCAGAACUGAUUAACUAGUUGUCUGCCUAAGCUGAGAAUUUCCAAAUUCUGUAACUGAUUCGCUGAGGAAAUACACAAGGGAAAAGCAAUGAAUUAAUGAUCAAUAAUAAUCAUCGUUCAAUGUCAGAAAUUUCUGUGGGACACUUGUAACAGAAUGCAAAUUUGCCCGUUGAAACCAGUGCUACAUCUUUUGGAUUUCACAUUUUCAAGGGAGCUUCUUCAAUUGCACUGAAUUCCCCAUAUGAAUUACUUUUAUGGUUCAUUGAGGGAACUACAAUUGGAGAACUGAAUUUAAUCUUUGAAUUCUUUUGAUGGCUCAUUGAGAAAAUGAAGGAUAGACAUAAAUGCAGGAGACGUCAUUGAUCAAUUUGUGAUAAAAGGGGAAUAGGUCUGAUGAAACAGUUUCAAAUUUCAUCAAAUUUUCGGGUUAUGGAAGAGAGGAAGAAUGUCGUUAGGAGAAUAGUCAAAAGAACUCAACUAAUGAACUGGUUACUAGCUGGGCUACCUGUCCUGAGAGUUUACAAUUGUGUGAGAGUUCAAUGGCAAAAACUUCGUUGAGGCAUUUGCUUGUGUGCUUUGCAACAAAUGAUCAUGGCAUGACGAAUUUAUCAGGACGAGGAAGUCAAACAUAAUGGUACAAGUAUGCUAGAUGAGAUAAAAUAUAAAUCAUUUUGAAGGUUAUUGUGACGAUAGGACUAAAUUCAAUGGGAAGGUCUCAUCACCAUAUUAGCACGGUGAUUAUGGGUGAAGCAAUUGUUUCCGGUGUCCUACAGCAGCUCACUUCAAUCAUUGGUAAAGGGAUACAGCAGGAGGUGACGCUAGUCAU